CCCCCGAGCGAGAGGAGCUCUAUCCCAACAGCCACGGAUGGAAGAUGGAAGGGCAUGAGAGAGAGAGAGGAGCUCAAACAUGGUAGCUGGAACCCUAGAUGCGAAAGAAGUCCCUAGGGGAACUUUGUCGCGAUUAGAGAUGGCGUGAAGAAGCUAGGGAGAGAGAAGGGUUAUAGGGAGGUUUAGUGAUAGGAUGACUCAUAUAGUCGCUCUAUGAUAGGUCGACUUAUUGAAACACCCUACCAUAAGAUGACUAUCCCAUGUGGCCUUACCCAUAUGGUAAGAGGAGAGUAACUCAGCAUAGAAUGUCGUCAUAUCAUAGAGCGACUUAUUGUUGGACAGUAUUUUGAUAAAAAUUUGGAAGGAGCAUUUUUUGAUAAUUUUUUUAAAAAUAAAUAUUAUUUUGAUAAAAUUUUUGAGAGAAAUGGAUGAUAAUAUCACAUGAUCUGUCUUGUGUUAGGUUUGCAGGUGGCCCAAUCUCAUCUGUAUUCGAAAGCUUUCUUAGUUUUAUAUAUGAUACACGCAUAUUAUAUUUUUCAUUUAUUUAUAAUCAAGUCUUGGCACUAUUGGAAAUGGAAUGCGAUAUUCAGAAGAACAUGGACCGGAAUCCUCUCCAGUCGUGACGUGGAGUGGAGAGAACUCGUCUUCCAGUCAUGGCCGUCCAUUAUUUGGUAGCAUUCUCCAAAUUAAAGGUUCUCUUAUAUAUGCUGCAG
rnacentral:lncRNA from 1 species